rnacentral:rRNA from 1 species
GUAGUCCACGCUGUAAACGGUGGGUACUAGGUGUGGGGUCCAUUCCACGGGUUCCGUGCCGUAGCUAACGCUUUAAGUACCCCGCCUGGGGAGUACGGCCGCAAGGCUAAAACUCAAAGGAAUUGACGGGCCCGCACAAGCGGCGGAGCAUGCGGAUUAAUUCGAUGCAACGCGUAGAACCUUACCUGGGUUUGACAUGGAUCGGGAGUGCUCAGAGAUGGGUGUGCCUCUUUUGGGGUCGGUUCACAGGUGGUGCAUGGCUGUCGUCAGCUCGUGUCGUGAGAUGUUGGGUUAAGUCCCGCAACGAGCGCAACCCUUGUUCACUGUUGCCAGCACGUUAUGGUGGGGAC